GUUAGAUAAAUGCUAUAAUAUAAUUAAACGCUACGAUAAAGUUUCAACAAGCAGGAACCUAAAACUAAAUUUUACCUUAAUGAAAAUCACUAAACUAAUCAUUAUCCUUCUCCUAACUCUCAUUUUCCCACCCUCAACUCUCGCCUAAACCACCUAAACCCUAUCUUUGUUAUUCCCUUUCCUUUCUAGGGUCUGAGUCUGAGACACGAGUGCACAAAAAAAAAAAAAAAAGGGUCUGAGACAUGAGAGACAGAAGAGAAGGGAGAAGAGACGAAACAGGGAUAGAGAGGAGACAGAGCUCGGGUGUGUCUUGCUUCGUCUCCGAUAAGCAGAGCUUGGGUUGGGUCGGGUCUUGCUUUGUCUCCGCCGUUUUCGCCUCUGCUUCAUAGAUCCGCCGUAUUCGAGAUCCGUCGCCGCUUGUACCUUUCUUCAAAACUCGUCUCGAGAGAAGAGAAGGCAGAAGACGGAGUCGUCUUCUCGAAUCACUCUUCCCUCGUCAAUGGAGACUGACAACUCUCACUCUCAUUCCUCUCCUCAGGAGCUGUGUCUUAGAUCGCAGAGGAAGUCCGUUCUAAAGCUCUGUUGUAUUGCAAGAUGUGGCAGUAGUAGUCACGAACUCAAAACCGGCUGAGAAAUGCUAAGAUAAGACUUUUAUCAAUUCCAUCAUAAGAAGCAGACAAGCUUGCAACGUAGCGUAAUGGUGGGGAACAGGAGUCAACAGUUAGUAUCACGGUGGUUGGAGCAUCUGGUGAUCUUGCUAAGAAGAAAAUAUUCCCAGCCUGUGAAUUUCUUCUUGUGAGAUUUUUUUUCCCAGUGGUGUUUACAAUGAAUAUCAGAAUAUGGUCGUUGCUCCUGUAGUUUACUGCAAGAAGGUUACUGAGACUUCCAAAACGGCGAGUGCAUUUUUGAUUAAUGCAUGGCAGAUUCUGGCAUUCUGCUGCUAUUGCAAUCAUGAAAACUGAUCUUGUAAGCAAGAGUGUGGCAGUUGAAUCACAAUUGGAGGAACCACAAUUUGAGUUGGAGGUAUGGCAAAAGGCUCUGGGAUGAUCACAGUAGAUGGUGACACGAGUACUAACGGCACAGUCAUUGCUUUGGCGAGCGGACUAUUGGAUCACCUUUUAUAUAUUCUUUGAACUGUAAGGAAGCUGCACAGCUUCAGGCAUGCCUUGAUGCAGUAUGUAUGUCCUUGCCAUCUUUCUAACAGUUGUUCAUAAGAUGGACUUAACAUGGAACUCUUAAACGUAAUAACUCUCAGGUGAUGCAAUGACUUGCCAAAUCAAUAGCUUGGGAUGGUGAAGGCAGUAACAUGUCUGAUAUUGAUAACGAUUUGAUGUUUCAGAUUCUUUGCAGUUCUUUACUUAUGAGGUGUGUUCUUGUGUUUUCAGGUCUGUUGUUUUGUGUGCUCGUUACUGGUGUCAUAACGGAUGCUAUUAAGGAUGCUGUAAGUCGGCCUCGUCCUGGCUUCUUUUGGCGUUGUUUCCCUGAUGGUAGAGGGUUCUUUGACAAUGUCAAAAAGGAUGUUCUGUGUAUUGGAGAUAAAGACGUGGUCAAGGAGGGACACAAGAGCUUCCCCAACCCCACACGUCUUGUUAGUUUUUAUCUUUUUGGGUCUGUUGUGCCAUGAGACAACUUAUCUAAUCGUGUAAUUCAAUGUCAUUAGGAUAAGGGUUCUCUGUAUUUUCAGGAAGAGGAAGAUGAGGUUUUCUGUUAUAUUAGUUGGCCUUUGUAUGUAAUUGCUUGCAGGGUUAGAGGCACGGAUGGGUUAAGGCACGGAUGGGAGUUGUAAUAUGUAUUGCAAGUUGAUGUAUAUUUUAGAUGAUAUAAGAAAUAAUAUAUGUUUUAUAAAAUGAAUGAAAUAUAAACUUUUAUUUAUAGAUCUGUUGUUUGUGAGAAAUCUUUAUUUAAUAUUUCAUCAUAAAAUUCAAAGACAACAUAACAAGAAUAUGAUUAAAAAAAAUCUAACACUAAUAUACCUCAAACCAUCUAUCCUAAAGCUCUAAACCCUAAACAUACCCUAAACCUAACUACAUACUUCAAACCCUCUAUCCUAAAUAUAAAUUUCAAGAAUAAUAUUUUAAAGCUUAAAUUUAAAUAUAAAACUCUAAAUUUAAUCAUUUUUGAAAUUUAAUCUCAAAUUAUAUACUUAUUCCCAAAUUCCAAAACCAUAAUUUUAUACGUUAAACUCUUUUCAUAAACCAUAUUCAUUUCAUAUACCCUAAACCCUGAUGUUUUAAAAAUCUAAACCUCAAACUUAUAAUAAAAUAUAAAAAUAAAACUCCAAGUAUAUUCUAAAACUCAAACCAUAUAUUUAAUUCUAAAUCUCAACCUUAAACCCUAAACCACAUAUCUCACAUUAACCUAUAUCAUAAAACAUUAAAUAUUAAUUUUAAAUAAAAUUAAUCAUCUAUCUUUUCGUAAUGAACUUUAUUAGUUUAUUUUUCAAUAAUUUUAUCCUAAAUUUUAACUUAACUACAAUUAUAUUUACACAUUACAAUAGUUGCCAAGAACAAAAGAAGAGAAACUACAAUAACAAAGAAGGAAAAAAAAAACAAAAACAGAAAUAGAAAAAGCCUCGACCAAUGAGGGUGAAUGGUGAGGAUUACUAAAGUAUUAAUCUCGACCGUUGAUUGAUCUCAAUCCAAUGGAUAUAAUUAAUCGAUUUUUUUCUUUUCUUAUUAACUUCCUGCUAUCUCUCACUCUCUCUUCCUCUUCCUCCCCGUCUUGUAUGUUUGCAGAAUUUGUUUUCUCUUUUUUCUAAUCUUAGUCUCUUCAUUCCCUUAAUUGUCCGAUAAUAUUUUCUGAUUUGUGUUGACAGAGCAAGCUAGCAGCGGUGGUGGUGUCUGGAAGCUAGUGGCGGCAUGAGAUGGUGGAUGUGGAGCGUACCAUGGAAGACGAUGGCAGAGGAUGGCUCGGCGAGCCAAAGAUUUUCUCAGGGUAUGAGAUCAAGGAGUGAGUCUAAUCUGCGCACUGUGUGGUCAACAAAGAAGCUGUUGAAGGUCGAUGGUGAAGGUCCUUUGUUUCCAAGACUGAGAUGUAGAAGAUUGAGAUGAGUCGAUUGGAUUGAGAUAUCAUCACCAGCACUGGUCAUCAUCAGAUUGAGAUGCGUCAUUUGGAGACAGAAUAGAGUAAGACAUCGAGAAGAAAGAGGCAAAGGAGGAAGGAGGCGACAACAACAUACCGAUUAGGUUUUAGAGUUAAUUAGGGUGUUCUGGUUUACUUAGUUUUUUAAUUCUGGUUUAGAGUUAAUUAGGGAGGCGACAACAACAUACAGAUUAGGGUUUAGAGUUAAUUAGGGUUAAUUACUAAACCAAUUUGUAACUGUAAACCAAUGUAAUUGUAAACCAAUGUAAUUGUAAACCAAUGUAAUUGUAAACCAAAAUUCAAUUUAUAAAAAUACCAAUUUAU